UACAGAGGGUGCAAGCGUUGUUCGGAAUUAUUGGGCGUAAAGGGCGCGUAGGCGGCCACCGCAAGUCGACUGUGAAAUCUCCGGGCUUAACCCGGAAAGGUCAGCCGAUACUGCGGGGCUAGAGUGCAGAAGGGGCAACUGGAAUUCUCGGUGUAGCGGUGAAAUGCGUAGAUAUCGAGAGGAACACCUGCGGCGAAGGCGGGUUGCUGGGCUGACACUGACGCUGAUGCGCGAAAGCUAGGGGAGCGAACGGG
rnacentral:rRNA from 1 species